rnacentral:ribozyme from 12 species
AUCAAGCCAAAAUAUGAAAAUCAAUAAAAAAAUAGUAAAAAUAGAAAUAUUGUUAUUAUUAUUAUUAUUGUUAUAUUUUAGUUUGUGAUCCAUUUGAUUUUAAUGAUUUUUU